rnacentral:rRNA from 1 species
AUAUACAAUCACAGGUAGAAGAAAAUUCGGGAUCCCGUUCGCUCUCCCAUACACAAGCUUCUGACCGCUGGGUUAGUAGCACUUGGAUUGGGUCGGUGACAACCAGCGAAUAUCCGGUGUUGUACGUU